GCCAUUCCGCGUGCAGGACGAAGGCCUUCGGGUUGUAAACUGCUUUUGUACGGAACGAAAAGGUCUCUAUUAAUACUAGGGGCUCAUGACGGUACCGUAAGAAUAAGCACCGGCUAACUACGUGCCAGCAGCCGCGGUAAUACGUAGGGUGCAAGCGUUAAUCGGAAUUACUGGGCGUAAAGCGUGCGCAGGCGGUUAUAUAAGACAGAUGUGAAAUCCCCGGGCUCAACCUGGGAACUGCAUUUGUGACUGUAUAGCUGGAGUGCGGCAGAGGGGGAUGGAAUUCCGCGUGUAGCAGUGAAAUGCGUAGAUAUGCGGAGGAACACCGAUGGCGAAGGCAAUCCCCUGGGCCUGCACUGACGCUCAUGCACGAAAGCGUGGGGAGCAAACAGGAUUAGAUACCCUGGUAGUCCACGCCCUAAACGAUGUCAACUGGUUGUUGGGUCUUCACUGACUCAGUAACGAAG
rnacentral:rRNA from 1 species